GGUAGGGGGCCUGACAGGGUGGCCCCCCACACUGGCACUGAAACACGGGCCAGACACCUACGGGUGGCAGCAGUAGGGAAUAUUGCACAAUGGGCGAAAGCCUGAUGCAGCAACGCCGCGUGCGCGAUGAAGACCUUCGGGUUGUAAAGCGCUUUUCUGAAGGAAGAGGAAGGACUGUACUUCAGGAAUAAGGAUUGGCUAACUACGUGCCAGCAGCCGCGGUAAUACGUAGGAUCCGAGCGUUAUCCGAAUUUACUGGGCGUAAAGCGCGUGCAGGCGGUCUGAUAAGUUGGAUGUGAAAGCUCCUGGCUCAACUGGGAGAGGCCGUUCAAAACUAUCAGACUAGAGGGCGGUAGAGGGAGGUGGAAUUCCCGGUGUAGUAGUGAAAUGCGUAGAUAUCGGGAGGAACACCAGUGGCGAAAGCGGCCUCCUGGACCGUUCCUGACGCUCAGACGCGAAAGCUAGGGGAGCAAACGGGAUUAGAAACCCCGGUAGUCCUAGCAGUAAACGAUGCGAACUUGGUGUCGGUGGGGUAAAAUCCGCCGGUGCCGGAGCUAACGCGUUAAGUUCGCCGCCUGGGGACUACGGCCGCAAGGUUAAAACUCAAAGGAAUUGACGGGGCCCCGCACAAGCAGCGGAGCGUGUGGUUUAAUUCGUUGCUACGCGAAGAACCUUACCCAGGUUUGACAUAUAGGUAGUAGGGAUUCGAAAGAUGACCGACCCUUCGGGGAGCCUAUACAGGUGCUGCAUGGCUGUCGUCAGCUCGUGCCGUGAGGUGUCCGGUUAAGUCCGGUAACGAGCGCAACCCCCAUUGUGUGUUACAAGUGUCACACGAAACUGCCGGUAUCAAGCCGGAGGAAGGUGGGGAUGACGUCAAGUCAGCAUGGCCUUUAUAUCUGGGGCUACACACACGCUACAAUGGUCGGAACAAUGGGUCGCAAAGCCGCGAGGUGGAGCCAAUCCUCAAAGCCGGCCUCAGUUCAGAUUGCAGGCUGCAACUCGCCUACAUGAAGUCGGAGUUGCUAGUAAACGCGCGUCAGCAUUAGUGCGUUGAAUACGUUCCCGGGGCUUGUACACACAGCCCGUCACGUCAUGGGAGCUGGUAACACCUGAAGCCGGUAUCCUAACCCGCAAGGGAGGGAGCUGUCGAAGGUGGGACUGGUGACUGGGACGAAGUCGUAACAAGGUAGGAGUACCGGAAGGUGCGCCUGG
rnacentral:rRNA from 1 species